AGUGAACGCUGGCGGCGUGCUUAACACAUGCAAGUCGAGCGGGGUUUUCGGACCUAGCGGCGGACGGGUGAGUAAUGCGUAGGAAGCUACCCGAUAGAGGGGGAUACCAGUUGGAAACGACUGUUAAUACCGCAUAAUGUCUACGGACCAAAGUGUGGGACCUUCGGGCCACAUGCUAUCGGAUGCGCCUACGUGGGAUUAGCUAGUUGGUGAGGUAAUGGCUCACCAAGGCGACGAUCUCUAGCUGGUUUGAGAGGAUGAUCAGCCACACUGGAACUGAGACACGGUCCAGACUCCUACGGGAGGCAGCAGUGGGGAAUAUUGGACAAUGGGCGAAAGCCUGAUCCAGCCAUGCCGCGUGAGUGAAGAAGGCCUUCGGGUUGUAAAGCACUUUAGCCUGGAAAGAAAAAACUUUGGUUAACACCCAAAGUCUUGACGGUACCAGGAGAAUAAGCACCGGCUAACUCUGUGCCAGCAGCCGCCGUAA
rnacentral:rRNA from 1 species